ensembl:lncRNA
UCAAGGUGAUUUUAAGAACAAGGGGAAAAAGCUUUAUUUGCAAAGAAUAAACCAUUAAUUUACACAAACUUACAUCCCGGUUUAUAUACAUUAUGUAUAGUUUAUAUACAUACACAGUAUCUCACACUGGAUGCUGAUCCCCAAAGCAGCAUUGGGCCUGCUCCAGGCCACCCUCACCAUGCAGCCCUUCCCCUCUCCCAGCUGGAAGCUUUUGACUAAAGAAAUGACAUAUCCCAACUCCACUUGGAGAGAGCCCUAAAAUGGAUUACAAGGAAAAUAUCCAGUUCUUUUUUUGUGCUCACAUGGCCUAGGGAAGACUUCAGGCAGGGGGGAGUCCUGAGGCAGCCCCAGGACUCCCUGCAGUUGGGCCUGUCCGGAGGCUUCCAUCCUGAGGCAGAAGCUGGGGAAGGGCCCUGGGGAAGGAAGCAGUCUGACAAAGGCUGUGGCCAUGCAUUCCCUGCCUGGCUAGGCUCCAGAAGAGGGCCAAGCACUUCCAGACUUGAGUCCGCGGGUUGCAGAAAGAAGGGGGCUGUGUGGGACACAGACUGUGCCUCCCUCACCUUGCUGAGUCUGGAGGUUGGGGCCCCCACACCUCAGGAAGGUCGCCUUCCCUCUCUGUUUCCUCAGUUUCCACAUGAGUAGGGUAGAAGGUAGGUUGGGCUAGAUUACUUCUAAGGGCCUCUCGAGUUCUUAAUUUCUCUGAAUCUAUUUGCAUCCACCAGAAGUUACAUAAAACACACAUAUUCACACAUGGCUCAAACUUUUUGUUCACCUUCAGGGUUCCUAGCCCUUUAUUGCUCAUCAAAAAGAAAUUUGGCUCAGGAUGGAUGAAGGGGGUCCCCAACAGCUGCCUUUUGUGCCAGCUUUGGCUGUUGGAGCCGGAGCAGCUGGCAAAGCCCCCACCAUGCAAUUCUCCUUCAAACCUCUGUCAUCCGCUUGCUCACAAAUGUCCUCAUCCCAUCCUCCAUGCUAGCCUCAGCUUUCUAAAGCCAUGUUGGUGUAAUUCCAAGGGGGUGAAUCUAGCUCCAUAUUCUCUUAAGAGUAAAUGACUUCAAUAACUUUGCAGCAACAGGGCUCCCCAGCUACCUCUUGCUUCCCUCAUCACCCCUCUCCCUCCAGAACUGCAUCUGAAGAGUCACAAUGAAUAAGAGUCCUGUGUGAAUCCUAUUUUCCCUCUAAUCCCCUCCAUACCUAGAGAAGAGGGUUGGUGUCAGAAUGCCCUUUAGUGGCACAAUUAGGAAGUCUUUUGCUUCCCUCGUCUCAUCCAGACCUCUCUUGGGCUUUCUUUGCAUCCCUGAGAGAUCCUGGUAAUACAGAGGUCUCUGUGGUAUGGCAGAAAGAGAUAAGGAGUCACUCUAGCUGUGGGAAGUGACCAGCUCCUUUAACUUGCCUGAAGGGCAACCAGAGGAAGCCCUUGUCCACAGGAGGGGCUCUGUGCCCAAUGGCUGAUUCAUUGGUUGGUUCUUUCAUUGGAUGAAAGAACACAAGGGGCAUCUGUUCUGUGGGUACUGGAGGCCUGCUGCUUGGGCAUGCUACCAAAACACUUCUUCUGAACACAAAAGCUCUAAGGCUGAUGGGAGUUUCCCAAAGAAAUGGCCUACUCUUUUGUCCCAGAGCCCUUGGCAGUCAAGAGAAAAGGUGCUACCAUCAAGGAACAAAAAUGAGCCUCUCUGGGUUUCUCCCUAGAUCCCUCAGGGAUUUGGGGUCCAUAUUACCAGUUUGAUUGGUUCUCUCUUGGAUUCCAAAUUCAAAACAAUGCUGGGGGGAAGAACAGAAGAGUUUCACAGUCAGACCUGGUUGAAAGCCCCAGGUAUGACUUAAAUUGGGUGAGAUCCUGCUCAAAGCACUCAACCUCUGAGCCUCAUCUAAAUGAUGGGGUUGGUAAUAUUAUCAAUGGAGAUAGGGAAAAUACAAACGUUAAGGAAAGGUUCUCAUCAGAUUCUGCUGAGGACUGUCUAAGGCACUUUAUAGGAUCUGGGGUCAAACACAUGCCUCAAGCUUGCUUCAUCUGGGGUGGGAAGGCUAUCAUUAGCAACCAG